AGUUAGUUAUAACAUUAGCCAUUGAAAAGAAGACUACAAUUUUACUUCAACUUACUUAAAGAAAUCCAGCACUGUUUUUAAUAAUAUAAGACAAAGCGGGGCUCCUAACGUUUGUAAGAUUUGUCGAGAAGUUUAAUGCAAAAUGCAAACAUGAUAUUCAACGUCUGAAUGUUCUGUUCUUAAUUUUUAUGUUUUUUUAUUAAAGAAAUCGAAAUAAUGUGAUUUUGUCAAUUUGGCACCGAAAACAUACGACAGAAAAUAUCUAACAGUUCCAAAGCUACGCGGUUUACCUGACCGAAUUUUUACCCCCUUUUUCAAAUACGAACUUUAAUCUUAUAAAAGCAUCCUGUUACGUUAUGCCCCAAUAAUUGAUAUUUUAUGACGAGUAUUAUUCUGUUUAUUAUAUUUUUCCUUGUGGUGCUAGUAUGCGAGUUGUUAAAGUGUUGUUAUUUAUUCAUGUGUAUGUUUAGCAAUUGUAAAUUAGAUGUAAAGUAUUUUUAUAAAUAAAAUUUUAAAAA
rnacentral:sRNA from 1 species